AAAUUUUUAUUACAUAAAAAUAUGAAUGUAUGUUCAUUUAUGUACGAUGUCUUCUCUAAUUUUAUUUAACUUUAAUUAAAUCAUUUAAAAAUUAUUAAAACUUUGAAGAAGAAAAAACAUGUUUGAAACCAUGUGUGGGAAAAAAACAUAAAAAUUGAUAAAAAAAUCAUAGGAGAAAAAAUAAAAUCGAAAAACUAAAACCAAC
rnacentral:lncRNA from 1 species